GGGGGUGAGAGAGAGGAGGGAGAGGAGAGAGAGGAGGGGGAGGAGAGAGACAUAACACCAGGCAGUAGGUGGAUGAGAGAGAGGAGGGGGAGGAGAGAGACAUAACACCAGGCAGUAGUUGGAUGAGAGAGAGGAGGGGGAGGAGAGAGACAUAACACCAGGCAGUAGGGGGUGAGAGAGAGGAGGGAGAGGAGAGAGAGGAGGGGGAGGAGAGAGAGGAGGGAGAGGAGAGAGACAUAAGACCAGGCAGUAGGGGGUGAGAGAGGAGGGGAGGAGAGAGACAUAAGAUCAGGCAGUAGGGGGUGAGAGAGGAGGGGAGGAGAGAGACAUAAGAUCAGGCAGUAGGGGGUGAGAGAGAGGAGGGGAGGAGAGAGACAUAAGAUCAGGCAGUAGGGGGUGAGAGAGAGGAGGGGGAGGAGAGAGACAUAAGAUCAGGCAGUAGGGGGUGAGAGAGAGGAGGGGGAGAGAGAGAGGGGAGGGAGAGGAGAGGGGGAUAACACCAGGCAGUAG
ensembl:lncRNA